UUUUUACUUGUACAAAUAGAAUAGAAAUCAGUUUUUUUUUGUGUAAUAUAAAGUUAUAAACAAUUAAAUAUUUUUGAUAUGAAUCACCUUGUUUAGAGUUAUUUAAACAUAAAAUCUGACUUCUUGUACAACCACAUUUUUCAUAGUUUCUUUUUAUUCUACACCAAAACAAUCAGUCUGUAACCAUGUAUAAAAUACACUAACAUACUACUCUAUGUUAUUGUCAUAUUAUAAUAUGUCAUUGUCAUUCCCCUCUUCACUCCUCACUUUCUUCCAUCUCCUCGUUCUCUUCCUCACUCGUCAGUUCUAAUUUUUCAUUUCUUAUUUUCACUUUUUACUUUUUACUUUCAGAUUCACUAUAAAUCUAUUGUUUUAUACUAUAUGUUUAAUAAAUAUAACAUAUUAUAAUAUGUAAAUUGUGCUUUAACACAUGUUCGGUUCUCACUCUCCUCUCCCUCUUCACCCUUCACUCUUCCUCUCUUUUACUCUUCACUCACCACUUUCCUUUUCACUCCUCACUUCUCAUCCUUCACUUCUCAAUCCUCCUCUUCCUUAUUACCUCUCAGCUCCUCUUUUUCUUUUCUUGUCCAUCAAUUUAUUUACAAUUCUUUCAAUUCUUCCGCAAGUCAUAUAUUUUUUCUUUGUUUCUUAUUUUUAUUUUGCAGUUUUGGAGAAUAUAAAUAGUUCACGUUAAACUGCAUUAUUUUGUUGUAUUUUUUUCUAUUUGGAAAUAUAAAAUAUAAAUGUUGCUCCGCUUGUUUCUUCUUUAUUAAUUCUGCUGACAACUCCACCAACUCUUCUAACCAAUCAUAUCCCCUUUCUCCUCC
rnacentral:lncRNA from 1 species